rnacentral:rRNA from 1 species
AAAAAAGGUAAGCUACUAAGAGCGAAUGGUGGAUGCCUUGACUGGUAAAGGCGAUGAAGGACGUACUAGACUGCGAUAAGCUACGGGGAGCUGUCAAGAAGCUUUGAUCCGUAGAUUUCCGAAUGGGGCAACCCAAUGUAUAGAGAUAUACAUUACCUAUAUAGGAGCGAACGAGGGGAAUUGAAACAUCUUAGUACCCUCAGGAAAAGAAAUCAAUAGAGAUUGCGUCAGUAGCGGCGAGCGAAAGCGCAAGAGGGCAAACCCAGUGCUUGCACUGGGGGUUGUAGGACUGCAAUGUGCAAGAGGUGAGUUUAGCAGAACAUUCUGGAAAGUAUAGCCAUAGAGGGUGAUAGUCCCGUAUGCGAAAAACAAACCUUAGCUAGCAGUAUCCUGAGUAGGGCGGGACACGAGAAAUCCUGUCUGAAGCUGGGUCGACCACGAUCCAACCCUAAAUACUAAUACCAGAUCGAUAGUGCACAAGUACCGUGAGGGAAAGGUGAAAAGAACUGAGGUGAUCAGAGUGAAAUAGAACCUGAAACCAUUUGCUUACAAUCAUUCAGAGCCCUAUGUAGCAAUACAGGGUGAUGGACUGCCUUUUGCAUAAUGAGCCUGCGAGUUGUGGUGUCUGGCAAGGUUAAGCAAACGCGAAGCCGUAGCGAAAGCGAGUCUGAAUAGGGCGCUUAGUCAGAUGCUGCAGACCCGAAACGAAGUGAUCUAUCCAUGAGCAAGUUGAAGCUAGUGUAAGAACUAGUGGAGGACUGAACCCAUAGGCGUUGAAAAGCCCCGGGAUGACUUGUGGAUAGGGGUGAAAGGCCAAUCAAACUUCGUGAUAGCUGGUUCUCUCCGAAAUAUAUUUAGGUAUAGCGUUGUGUCGUAAUAUAAGGGGGUAGAGCACUGAAUGGGCUAGGGCAUACACCAAUGUACCAAACCCUAUCAAACUCCGAAUACCUUAUAUGUAAUCACAGCAGUCAGGCGGCGAGUGAUAAAAUCCGUCGUCAAGAGGGAAACAACCCAGACUACCAGCUAAGGUCCCUAAAUCUUACUUAAGUGGAAAACGAUGUGAAGUUACUUAAACAACCAGGAGGUUGGCUUAGAAGCAGCCAUCCUUUAAAGAAAGCGUAAUAGCUCACUGGUCUAGUGAUUUUGCGCGGAAAAUAUAACGGGGCUAAAGUAAGUACCGAAGCUGUAGACUUGCGCACAACUUAGAUUAUUUAAGUUUAGAAUAUGAGAAACUAAGUUAUAUGUUUAGUUAUAUUUUUACUGAUUUUUAUAGAGUAAAGAUAGAAAUAAAACUUAGUAAAAUCAGUAAAAAUAUUCUUAGACUAAAGUUAAGUAGUUUAAGUUGUGUGCAAGUGGUAGGAGAGCGUUCUAUUUGCGUCGAAGGUAUACCGGUAAGGAGUGCUGGAGCGAAUAGAAGUGAGCAUGCAGGCAUGAGUAGCGAUAAUUAAUGUGAGAAUCAUUAACGCCGUAAACCCAAGGUUUCCUACGCGAUGCUCGUCAUCGUAGGGUUAGUCGGGUCCUAAGUCGAGUCCGAAAGGGGUAGACGAUGGCAAAUUGGUUAAUAUUCCAAUACCAACAUUAGUGUGCGAUGGAAGGACGCUUAGGGCUAAGGGGGCUAGCGGAUGGAAGUGCUAGUCUAAGGUCGUAGGAGGUUAUACAGGCAAAUCCGUAUAACAAUACUCCGAGAACUGAAAGGCUUUUUGAAGUCUUCGGAUGGAUAGAAGAACCCCUGAUGCCGUCGAGCCAAGAAAAGUUUCUAAGUUUAGCUAAUGUUGCCCGUACCGUAAACCGACACAGGUGGGUGGGAUGAGUAUUCUAAGGCGCGUGGAAGAACUCUCUUUAAGGAACUCUGCAAAAUAGCACCGUAUCUUCGGUAUAAGGUGUGGUUCGCUUCGUAUUAGGAUUUACUCCGAAAGCG